GACGUAGGGCGCGAGCGUUGUCCGGAUUUAUUGGGCGUAAAGAGCUCGUAGGCGGCUUGUCGCGUCGUCCGUGAAAACCUGCAGCUCAACUGCAGGCUUGCGGUCGAUACGGGCAGGCUAGAGUUCGGCAGGGGAGACUGGAAUUCCUGGUGUAGCGGUGAAAUGCGCAGAUAUCAGGAGGAACACCGGUGGCGAAGGCGGGUCUCUGGGCCGAUACUGACGCUGAGGAGCGAAAGCGUGGGGAGCGAACAGG
rnacentral:rRNA from 1 species